GUGUAUUAAGUGGAAAAGGAUGUGGAGUUGCUUAGACAACUAGGAUGUUGGCUUAGAAGCAGCCACCAUUUAAAGAGUGCGUAAUAGCUCACUAGUCGAGUGACUCUGCGCCGAAAAUGUACCGGGGCUAAAUACACCACCGAAGCUGCGGAUUGAUACCAAUGGUAUCAGUGGUAGGGGAGCGUUCUAAGGACAGUGAAGUCAGACCGGAAGGACUGGUGGAGUGCUUAGAAGUGAGAAUGCCGGUAUGAGUAGCGAAAGACGGGUGAGAAUCCCGUCCACCGAAUGCCUAAGGUUUCCUGAGGAAGGCUCGUCCGCUCAGGGUUAGUCAGGACCUAAGCCGAGGCCGACAGGCGUAGGCGAUGGACAACAGGUUGAUAUUCCUGUACCACCUCUUUAUCGUUUGAGCAAUGGAGGGACGCAGAAGGAUAGAAGAAGCGUGCGAUUGGUUGUGCACGUCCAAGCAGUUAGGCUGAUAAGUAGGCAAAUCCGCUUAUCGUGAAGGCUGAGCUGUGAUGGGGAAGCUCCUUAUGGAGCGAAGUCUUUGAUUCCCCGCUGCCAAGAAAAGCUUCUAGCGAGAUAAAAGGUGCCUGUACCGCAAACCGACACAGGUAGGCGAGGAGAGAAUCCUAAGGUGUGCGAGAGAACUCUGGUUAAGGAACUCGGCAAAAUGACCCCGUAACUUCGGGAGAAGGGGUGCUUUCUUAACGGAAAGCCGCAGUGAAUAGGCCCAAGCGACUGUUUAGCAAAAACACAGCUCUCUGCGAAGCCGUAAGGCGAAGUAUAGGGGGUGACACCUGCCCGGUGCUGGAAGGUUAAGGAGAGGGGUUAGCGUAAGCGAAGCUCUGAACUGAAGCCCCAGUAAACGGCGGCCGUAACUAUAACGGUCCUAAGGUAGCGAAAUUCCUUGUCGGGUAAGUUCCGACCCGCACGAAAGGUGUAACGAUUUGGGCACUGUCUCAACCAGAGACUCGGUGAAAUUAUAGUACCUGUGAAGAUGCAGGUUACCCGCGACAGGACGGAAAGACCCCGUGGAGCUUUACUGUAGCCUGAUAUUGAAUUUUGGUACAGUUUGUACAGGAUAGGCGGGAGCCUUUGAAACCGGAGCGCUAGCUUCGGUGGAGGCGCUGGUGGGAUACCGCCCUGACUGUAUUGAAAUUCUAACCUACGGGUCUUAUCGACCCGGGAGACAGUGUCAGGUGGGCAGUUUGACUGGGGCGGUCGCCUCCUAAAGUGUAACGGAGGCGCCCAAAGGUUCCCUCAGAAUGGUUGGAAAUCAUUCGUAGAGUGCAAAGGCAUAAGGGAGCUUGACUGCGAGACCUACAAGUCGAGCAGGGACGAAAGUCGGGCUUAGUGAUCCGGUGGUUCCGCAUGGAAGGGCCAUCGCUCAACGGAUAAAAGCUACCCCGGGGAUAACAGGCUUAUCUCCCCCAAGAGUCCACAUCGACGGGGAGGUUUGGCACCUCGAUGUCGGCUCAUCGCAUCCUGGGGCUGUAGUCGGUCCCAAGGGUUGGGCUGUUCGCCCAUUAAAGCGGUACGCGAGCUGGGUUCAGAACGUCGUGAGACAGUUCGGUCCCUAUCCGUCGUGGGCGUAGGAAAUUUGAGAGGAGCUGUCCUUAGUACGAGAGGACCG
rnacentral:rRNA from 1 species